CCCUUAGAGUUUGAUCCUGGCUCAGAUUGAACGCUGGCGGCAUGCUUUACACAUGCAAGUCGAACGGCAGCGCGGGGAGCUUGCUCCCUGGCGGCGAGUGGCGCACGGGUGAGUAAUACAUCGGAACGUGUCUUCUAGUGGGGGAUAACUGCCCGAAAGGGCAGCUAAUACCGCAUGAGACCUGAGGGUGAAAGCGGGGGAUCGCAAGACCUCGCGCUGGAAGAGCGGCCGAUGUCCGAUUAGCUAGUUGGUGAGGUAAAGGCUCACCAAGGCGACGAUCGGUAGCUGGUCUGAGAGGACGACCAGCCACACUGGGACUGAGACACGGCCCAGACUCCUACGGGAGGCAGCAGUGGGGAAUUUUGGACAAUGGGGGCAACCCUGAUCCAGCCAUGCCGCGUGCAGGAUGAAGGUCUUCGGAUUGUAAACUGCUUUUGUCAGGGACGAAAAGGGAUGCGAUAACACCGCAUUCCGCUGACGGUACCUGAAGAAUAAGCACCGGCUACUCU
rnacentral:rRNA from 1 species